rnacentral:rRNA from 1 species
UGGGGAAUAUUGCACAAUGGAGGGAACUCUGAUGCAGCGACGCCGCGUGAGUGAUGAAGGAAUUCGUUUCGUAAAACUCUGUUCUAUGGGAAGAAAAGGACUGUACCAUAGGAGAAAGCUCCGGCUAAAUACGUGCCAGCAGCCGCGGUAAUACGUAUGGAGCGAGCGUUGUCCGGAAUUAUUGGGCGUAAAGGGUGCGCAGGCGGCUUUACAAGUUGGAUGUGAAAUAUUGUGGCUCAACCACAAACGUGCAUCCAAAACUGCAAAGCUUGAGUUAAGGAGAGGUAAGUGGAAUUCCUGGUGUAGCGGUGGAAUGCGUAGAUAUAAGGAGGAAUACCGGUGGCGAAGGCGACUUACUGGACUUAAACUGACGCUCAGGCACGAAAGCGUGGGGAGCAAACAGG